CCUCAGCCCUGGCAGAAAAUGGAGAGAUUAUCAGAGGCUUGAGUUCACACAGACAGAUACGGCGUGUGGGUAAAGUCCUCUGAACAGACAGGGAACAGAAUGCCACAUUAACCAGCUGAAGAAAAUCCUGAGACUACAAUAGAAAGAAAUGUGGCUUCUCCGUAAGUUUCUGUAUUGAUGUUCCAAGGAUGAUGAAUGUGUAAACAACUGAAUGUUGUGCAAAAUCAUGCAGUUUACUUAUUUAUGAUAAGAUGAGGAGAAUUUGUAUUUCUGAUCCAGACAAAGCAGAGCCUGGAUACAGUGGAGUCACAGCUCAUGACAACAAAGGGGAUGACACUUGGAAAACACACAGAAAUGAGGGCAACACUGUUCACCAGCCACCACCCGGGAUUAUGAAAUCGAGCAAUACAAACAUGAAUGUAGGAGGAAAGGAUAUGAAAAGACACAAAGGUGCUCACCAGGACAGGAUACUCUGGGUCACUCUGGACUCGGAGGAUCUGUAGGAAACAUUAUUCCUGUGAAUGUGUUGGACUUACUGCUUGUGCCUGUACAAAAUGAAAAUCCUGGAGCCACUGGACAAGAUUAUGAGCACAGAAAAUAAAACUUCAGGGAAUACAAAUAAUGCUGCAUACAAUGGGUCUAUAAUUUUGUUAAAACCUAGAGUAGAACAGUAACCAAAAUCUCUUCUUUGUGAUGUUAUUGUCAUUGUAUGUGACAACCAGAUACACCGGAAAAAUUUACUACAAUGUACAGGAUCUAGCAGAUGGGAAUGGAGUAUCCAAUGUACUCUGCAGCUUUUACUUUAAGAUCCUUCCACCUGGAGUUCAUGGGGCUGAUCUUUAUGGUCUGGAAGACACUCAAGAGGCAGGUGGUGCCAAUGGACAUAGUCCUGUCCACUCUUUCUACAUAGAAAGUAUGUUCACAUCCAAAACCAUUGAAGAAAUGUGUCAAUCCAAAAGCUGACAUUGGGGAACUCCUUUUGAGAGAAGAAACAUGGGGUUUCCAAUAAUCAAGUGCUUGAGACUCACAUCUGUGGACCUCAACCUGGAUCUUGUGUAAGAAAGAAAUAGAUAAUGGCAAACGAGAGAAGUUGCCUAGGAUUUCAACCCUCAUCUGUGAUAAGAAGAUUAUCCUUAUUGCCACAUCACUAGAAUCUUUUCUUUCAUUCAGCACAUGUUCCUUUAAGGAUGGUAACAAUCAUUCUUAUGAGAAAACAGCCUUAUUGAAGAUUCUUGUCAUUAACAGUAACUUUCACUGUGUGCUCCUGUGAGGAUAGCCAGGUGCACUUAGAAAUGGAAAGAAUUACCAGGGUACUUCAUCGAAGUCAGCACUAAGGAUGAGGUGGUGUUAACCAUGGGAGAAGCAAUGACAAGUGACAGCAAACAGAAAAAAAGCAUCAUCUAACAUUUUAUGAAUAAACUGAUGAGGUAGUUAUAAUGGAAAAAAGACAUAACCUCAACCGCUACCAACACUAUAGAACAAAUUACUUCUGAAUGAAUUGCUGAUCUAAAUUUUCAUGGCCACCAUUUUAUUUACAUGAGGAGACCACCAAGCGGCCAAUGGGAAACCUGCAGUAGUCAUUUGGACCCAAGAAGAUUCUAUAUCCAGGCCACUGCUCCGGCUUGUUCCCACACUGUGGAGUGUACUUUCAUUUUCAGUAAAUUCCUGUUUUCGUUCUUUUGACGCUGCAUUCUUUCCUUGCUUUGCUGGGUAUUUUUUCCAAUUCUUUGUUCAAAAUGCCAAGAACCUGAACAACUUGCAGUCAAGACCCUCUACUGAACAUAUUUUGGUGAGCUAGCCAGGAGAGAAGGUAGGUUCAAAGUUUGGGAUUUCUUUUUCUCCUUUCCCGUUUUACAUACAGGGGAGUCUUUGUCUGGGUCUGUUUUCCUUUCCAACUGAGGACCCUCGGUGGACAGCGCCUAAGCACGAAGACAAAUGCAAGUUUCUGGCCAGGGCCAUUCUCUGGUGAAACUGAAAGGUUUCCCUGUGGAAGUGCCUGACUGCCACCGCUUGGUUCAGACCACUAUGGGCAACUCUCCACCUAUUCCGCACUUGGCUAUAUCCUCAACCAUUGAAAUAAAUUUGACCCUGACACUCUAAAGAC